rnacentral:tRNA from 1 species
AGCAUGUUAGCUCAGGGGAAGAGCGUAAGUUAUAUCACGUGAUAUAUCCAAUUCGAUCUAUAUAACUAACAUAUACACAGGCCGGGCUCAUAACCCGGAGGUCCCUGGAUCGAAACCAGGACAUGCUA